rnacentral:rRNA from 1 species
AACGAACGCUGGCGGCAGGCUUAACACAUGCAAGUCGAACGCCCCGAAAGGGGAGUGGCAGACGGGUGAGUAACGCGUGGGAAUCUACCCAGUUCUACGGAACAACAGUUGGAAACGACUGCUAAUACCGUAAACGCCGUACGGGGGAAAGAUUUACCGGAAUUGGAUGAGCCAUCGUAAGAUUAGCCAGUUGGUGUGGUAAUGGCCUACCAAGGCGACGAUCUUUAGCUGGGCUGAGAGGAUGAGCAGCCACACUGGGACUGAGACACGGCCCAGACUCCUACGGAAGGCAGCAGUGGGUAAUGUUGGACAAUGGGGGCAAGCCUGAUCCAGCCAUGGCGCGUGAGUGAUGAAGGCCUUAGGGUUGUAAAGCUCUUUCACCGAUGAAGAUAAUGACGGUAGUCGGAGAAGAAGCCCCGGCUAACUUCGUGCCAGCGGCCGCAGUAAAAC